rnacentral:lncRNA from 1 species
AUAAUCUACCUUUUUUAGUGUACAGUGUUCUGGAUUUUGGCAAGUGCAUAUGGUCAUGUAACCACAGUAAUGAUAAGGAACAUUUUCAUCGCCCCAAACUGUUCCCCUCCCGUUAGCCUCAGCACACUUUGACCUGUUUUAUAGUGCUGUGGUUCUGCUUUUGCCCAAAUGUCAUAUAAAUGCAACUGUGUGGUCUGUAACCUUUUGAAUCUGGCUUCUUUCAUUUAAAUUUAACAUAACGCAUUUGAGAUCCAUCCAUGCUCAAGUGUAUCACUAAUCUGUUCCUGCUUAUGGCUGUCUUACUCCAGUGUAUGAGUGUACUACAGUUUGUCUACGAGUUGGAGGACAUGUGGGUUAUCUCCAGUUCUUUGGUGGGGAUGGUCUUAGAAUUAUUAUUAUUAAAACAGUGUUAACCUCACAGACUCCCUAAAAGACUCUCAGGGGCCAAGACCCCUCUCUGGGCAUCUCUGGCCACCCUGAACUGUGUGCCUGGUUGUGAUGUGCCCCUGUCUAGAACGUCAAGAUCUAGCUUAAGGGUUUGCUUCACACUGCCCUUUCUAGGCCUCUUCUCACUGUCACCCCUACACACCUUCAUGCCCUAAGGGUGGGCUGGUCACCACCUGCAUGGCUGUUAUUUGAGGACCUGGGAUCAUCUUCUCUGUCCCAGCACAUGUCUGAUGUCUGAUACACAGAUGUAUUCCCUCUCCGAUUAGACCCCUAGCCUGGGAACCUCCAUUAUGCUGCAGGUGCAGCUCUAGAAAAGACAAAAAAAAAAAUCCUAAUCUCUGGAGGUCAGGUUUAGGUAUUAGUAUUUUUUAAAAGCAUUACUGUUGAAUCUCAUGUGCAGCCACAAGAGUUUGCUUUACUGUGAAGUCGUAGUGGUGAUGUAGUCAAGACUAGAACCCAGGUCUCUGGUGCCUUUACCUCCACACUACACACUUUCACGUGAAGGGAAGCACUAAGAGGUUUAGAGAACUUUGGUAUAGAUGCCAGAGUUUCGAUUUAUGGAGGAAAUGUCACGCAGGAAGCUCAACACCGAAUUGAGAGUCAGGGGACCAUGUUUCCGUUUUGGCUCUGCAUUUAUUAACUGUGGAUUAAUAAAUACAUGAGUCUGUUCUCACUUGUAAAGUAAGGAUACUGUCUUAAAUUCUAGACGCUAUUAUAGGGAUCAAAUUAGAUGAUGUGUUACAUGAUUUUAAAGGAUUUAUUUAAAGGGUUACAAAAUCCUUUUGUAAACUAUGAAGUGCUGUCUAAAACUUAUUUUUACUUGAUUUUAACCCAGUGUAUUUAUUGGCUAGCUUUCCUGGCAGUUCAUAAAUUACACAAGUAAUACAUAAAUAGAGUCUCACUGAAAUGGUUAAAUAACAGAAUUAUGCAGAGUAAAACCAAGAGGUCACCAUGGGUCACAUUCUUUCAAUCCUUUGUGUAUGCAUUUAAGUGCAUAAAUAUGUAUGUAUGUAAUGUAAGUUAUUUUUUUUUGGUUGUCUUAACAUAAAUAGUCUUACUUUUUUUUUUUUAACUUGACAACAUGUCUUAGAUCAUUCCAUAUUAGGAUGUAUAAAUCCCUCUCUUUUUAUAGCUGCAUAUUUUUUCUUGUUUCCAAAUAGAUGGACAUUGAGCCCAUGUUCCACUUUUUUAAAAAUGCUGAUAAACAUUCCGAGCUCUUCUUUAAUUCAUUCUUUUUUAUUUUUUCAUUUUUAAAAACUAUGAAGUAUAGUUGGCUUAUAAUGUGUUAAUUUCUGCUGUAUAGCACAGUGAUCUGUUAAAUAUAUAUAUAUUCUUUUUCAUAUUUUUUCUGUUAUGGUUUAUUGCAGGAUAUUGAAUAUAGUUCCCUGUGCUCUACAGUAGGACCUUGUUAUUUGUCCAUCUGAUAUAUAAUAGAUUGCAUCGCCUAAUCCCAAACUCCCAAUCCUCCCCCCCCACCACGCCCAGGCUAAAACAUUAGUUUAUUCUUUUGAAAAGAUUUAUUCUGUUUUCAAGGUAUUGGGAGAUGAGGUAGUAAAUGUCUUUAUCUUAGACAAUGUCUAUUCAAGUCAGAAUAGAACUAAGAGUUUCUAAAAAAGAUGGUAAAAUAUACUAGACCUUGCAGAACUUUUUUAUAUGUUUUUCUAUGUUUUGUUUUAUUUUUAUGGUAUUCUUAUUUCACUAUUUGGAUAGACUUUCAAAGACCAAUGUGUACUGCUUAAGUUUAACCUCUUUGGUUGUGAUUACUCUAUACUUUUCUUUCAGUAAAAACAGCACAAUGAUAAUGGCUAGUACUUACUUGUUGUGCCAGCACUGUGCCUAGAGCUUAUUAUAUCCAUGGUCUCAUUUCUUCCUCUCAGUAACUCAGUGGUGUUCUCCAGGUGAAGUAUAUAGGAAUGGAGAGUCAGAGUGGUCAAGUCACCUGUCCAAGGUUACUUAUGGAUAUAGGAUUCAAAGGUCCUGCUUCCAACUCUGAUGUCAGGAUUUUGCUGAAUCAGAAAUGGUACUUUGUAUCUGUGACAUCACAGUUUACUUUCUAAAUUACUUAUAUUUAUUUAUUUUUAAAUACCAGUAAUAAUUUCACAUAUAUAGAAAUAGUUCAUGCUCUGGAGUAUUCAUUUUGUAGAAAGUAUUUACAAUAAAAGCAAUAUAUUAAUGUAACAUCAUAAAGGCAAAUGUGUAUUGAAUUUAAUAGUAAGAAUGGUACUUUGGAGUGAAAAAGGCCACUAAAUGAGAAGUUGAUCUUGAAUUCUGUUUACCAGCUAACAGUGACUUUGAUAAAAUAAUCCUUUUUAAUCACUGGUAAAGUAGUUCACUUUACAUUUAAUCAGUUAUCAAGCCUGAGUAAUGAUAGUGUGUGUAAGAAAUACUUACAUGGAGUUCCUCCUGCGACGCAACAGGAUUGGCAGUGUCUCUGGAGCACUGCGACGCAGGUUCGGUCCCUGACCUGGCACAGUGGGUUAAGGAUCUGGCAUUCCUGCAGCUAUGGCAUAGGUUGCAACUGUGGCUCAGGUUGCAGCUGUGGCUCAGAUCUGAUCUCUGACCUAGGAACUCCAUAUGCUGUGGGGCAACC